UAAGCGGAGGAAAGGAAACCAACCGGGAUUGCCUUAGUAACGGCGAGUGAAGCGGCAAAAGCUCAAAUUUGAAAUCUGGUACCUUCGGUGCCCGAGUUGUAAUUUGGAGAGGGCAACUUUGGGGCCGUUCCUUGUCUAUGUUCCUUGGAACAGGACGUCAUAGAGGGUGAGAAUCCCGUGUGGCGAGGAGUGCGGUUCUUUGUAAAGUGCCUUCGAAGAGUCGAGUUGUUUGGGAAUGCAGCUCUAAGUGGGUGGUAAAUUCCAUCUAAAGCUAAAUAUUGGCGAGAGACCGAUAGCGAACAAGUACAGUGAUGGAAAGAUGAAAAGAACUUUGAAAAGAGAGUGAAAAAGUACGUGAAAUUGUUGAAAGGGAAGGGCAUUUGAUCAGACAUGGUGUUUUGUGCCCUCU
rnacentral:rRNA from 1 species